GUCUACGGCCAUACCAUCGAGAAAACACCGGUUCUCGUCCGAUCACCGAAGUUAAGCUCGAUUGGGCGCGGUUAGUACUUGGAUGGGUGACCGCCUGGGAAUACCGCGUGCUGUAGGCAUUU
rnacentral:rRNA from 1 species